AGCAGCCGCGGUAAUUCCAGCUCCAAUAGCGUAUAUUAAAGUUGUUGCAGUUAAAAGGCUCGUAGUUGAAUUUCGGGGUUAGUAGAUUGGUCGUGCCACGGGUAUGUACUGGUCUUACUGAUUCCUCCUUCCUGAUGAACCGUAAUGCCAUUAAUUUGGUGUUGCGGGGAGAUUGGACUGUUACUUUGAAAAAAUUAGAGUGUUUAAAGCAGGCUUACGCUUGAAUACAUUAGCAUGGAAUAAUGAAAUAGGACGUUCGAUCCUAUUUUGUUGGUUUCUAGGAUUGACGUAAUGAUUAAUAGGGAUAGUUGGGGGCAUUAGUACUCAAUUGUCAGAGGUGAAAUUCUUGGAUUUAUUGAAGACUAACUACUGCGAAAGCAUUUGCCAAGGAUGUUUUCUAUUAAUCAAGAACGAAAGUUAGGGGAUCGAAGACGAUCAGAUACCGUCGUAGUCUUAACCAUAAACUAUGCCGACUAGGGAUCGGAUGAUGUUAAUUUUUUAAUGUACUCACUCGGCGCCU
rnacentral:rRNA from 1 species